CCUGCCUUUAGAAGCAUUACAGGUGUGGCUGCCUUGAUUUAUGUGUGUCAAUAGGUUACAAGAGGAAAGAGGCUAUGUCUAUACUCAGUGUUUUGACCUGUGAACAUCUGAAUGAUUAGGAACCUAACAUU